rnacentral:rRNA from 1 species
CAACUGAGAAUCCCUUAGUAAUGGCGAAUGAACAGGGAAAAGCUCAUCGGGAAGAGAAAUGGUAACAUUUCUCGGUGUCCGGUAUGGUUUGAUGCUAGACUAGUGAAAUUGUUCUGAUGUCUACUGGAAAGUAGCAUCAAAGAAGGUGAAAAUCCUGUAAAGAACUUUUUCUGUAACUAGUCAUAAUGGCUCAUUCCUAUGAGUAGAGUUGUUUGAAAGUGCAACUCGAAGCUGGAGAUAUGUCUCUCCAAAAGCUAAUUAUAAAGCGAGACCGAUAGUAAACAAGUACCGUGAGGGAAAGUUGAAAAGCACUCUGAAGAGAGAGUGAAAAGUACGUGAAACUGUUGAAGGGGAACUGGAGUGAGCGUUACCAUACUCAAUGCCUUGAUAAUAAAGUCUCGGCUACCGAGUAGUGUUGUUGUCGUCUUUUGGCAUGAUGUUAAAGGAUCAAGCAAAAGAUAUCUUCGGAUAACUUUCUGUUGAUUCUAAACAAAAUGAGAUAAAUCUAUCUUGAUUGCCUGUCUGACCUCAACUUCCUAUUCAAUGCUCUCUACAGCCCGUCUUGAAACACGGACCAAGGAGUGUGAGUUACUUGCAAGUGUUGUCGCUCAUUGAAAGCGCACACGCGAAAUGAAAGUGAAAAGUGUAACUUUUAUGAGUUGCACUACUUUGUGUGGUGAGGGCGCCGAGUCGGUGUCCCGCAACCACGGACGGUUUUGCUCAAAUUGCAUGACCGAUCUAGAGCAAGUAGCACACGACCCGAAAGAUGGUGAUCUAUGCUUGGGCAGGGCGAAGCCACGGGAAACCAUGGUGGAAGCCCGAAGCGGUUCUGACGUGCAAAUCGAUCGUCUGACCUGAGCAUAGGGGCGAAAGACUAAUCGAACCAUCUAGUAGCUGGUUUCCUCCGAAGUUUCCCUCAGGAUAGCAAAAGCUUGAGCAAGAUUGAAAAAUCUUCGCAAAGCAAUUUCAUCGGUUAAAGCGAAUGAUUAGAGGAAUGGGGGAAAAUUUUUCCUUCACCUAUUCUCAAACUAUAAAUCGGUGAGAUGUCCUUGUGACUUAAUUGCACUUGGACUAUGAAUGCAAGCUUUUUGUGGGCCGCUUUUGGUAAGCAGAACCGGCGAUGUGGGAUGAACCAAAAGUUGGGUUAAGGCGCCUAACUACUUGCUCAUGAGUCACCACAAAAGGUGUUGAUUGAUACUGACAGCAGGACGGUGGUCAUGGAAGUUGAAAU